rnacentral:rRNA from 1 species
UACGUAGGCAGCGAGCGUUGUUCGGAGUUACUGGGCGUAAAGGGUGUGUAGGCGGUUGUUUAAGGUUGGGGUGAAAUCUCCCGGCUCAACUGGGAGGGUGCGCCGAAUACUGAAUGACUUGGAGUGCGGGAGAGGAAAGUGGAAUUCCUGGUGUAGCGGUGAAAUGCGUAGAUAUCAGGAGGAACACCGGUGGUGUAGACGGCUUUCUGGACCGUAACUGACGCUGAGACACGAAAGCGUGGGUAGCAAACAGG